ACCCGCUGAAUUUAAGCAUAUAAGUAAGCGGAGGACUUUAAACCAAAAGGGAUUCCUUCAGUAACGGCGAGUGAACAGGGAGUAGCUCAGCAUGGAAAUUGGGGCUGGUAGCCUUGAGUUGUAGUCCGGAGAUGUGUUGCCAAUGGCGGGGGCAGAUGUAAGCCUCUUGGAAGAGAGCACUGAUGAGGGUGACGGUCCUGNUUGUCAUCUGUCAGCUUCCAUGNACGGCGUGCGUCCUACGAGUCACGUUCCUUGGGCUUGGAGCGCCAAUGUGGUGGUAAUUUUCACCCCAAGCUAAAUACACGUUCAGGACCGACAGCAAACAAGUACCAUGAGGGAAAGGUGAAAAGGACUUUGAGAAGAGUGUUAAAAGUGCAUGAACUUGCUGAACAUAAGUGAAUGGAACAUGUUUUGUCGUGGUGAGAUUGCCAUGCUUGUCUGUGGCGCGCGGCGCCUGAUUCCGCAAGUAUUGCAGCNUUGUGCGGUUUGCGUAUGUGUGGUGUUUCCUGCCUUGCUAGUCACUGUGAGCGUGCAAGUGUGCAUGAGACCGGGACUUUGUGUGUUUACUAGCGGUGGUCACUUAUGUCUUGAGCUCGCAUGCUUGUNCACUGCUUGGUGUGUGCCAGGGUGGUGUGUUGUGGGCUGCUCUUUGUUGCUGAGAAACUGUCUUUUCAUAAGGGGUGUGCCUGCGACAUAUUCUUGUUCGCACCGGCAUUGACUAAAUGGCUCCAUUCGACCCGUCUUGAAACACGGACCAAGGAGUCUAACGCAUGUGUAAGUUUCCUGGUGGUGAGCCUGCGUGCGACAUGAAAGUGUUUGUUGGGAUUCUGUGCACUAACAAUGGACCGAUCGUNUGGGAGAGGUUUGAGUUUGAUCACAUGCGUUAGGACCCGAAAGAUGGUGAACUAUGCCUGAGGAGGGCAAAUNCAGGGGAAACUCUGAUGGAGGCUUGUAGCGAUACUGACGUGCAAAUCGUUCGUCUCACUUGGGUAUAGGGGCGAAAGACUAAUCGAACCAUCUAGUAGCUGGUUCCCUCCGA
rnacentral:rRNA from 1 species